rnacentral:tRNA from 1 species
GGAGGGGUACCCAAGUGGCCAAAGGGGGCAGACUGUAAAUCUGUUGCGUGAACGCUUCGAAGGUUCGAAUCCUUCCCCCUCCACCA